UUGCUAGGGUGUUGCUAGGUUGUUGCUUGGGUGUUCUGGGUGGUUGCUAUGCGGUUGAGAUAGGUAUAAACAGAGGUAGUAACCAGCUCCAAAUGGGAGUGACUUUAGCUACUUGUAUUGUUCUCUGCUAGAUAUAUCGCUUUGCUUGUACUUUACUCAUUUGUUAGUCGCUUUGGAUAAAAGCGUCUGCUAAGUGAAUAAAUGUAAAUGUAAUGUAAUGUAGCUCCAAGUGGGCUGUACAAACCUCCAGAGGACUAUGAUUGGUUACUGUACUGUCUGUCAUGUAAAUUAAGCUGUCGGGUUUUUCCCCCAGAGGCAAUACAGCGGCUUGACGAGAUAAACGGGUUACGCUGGUAAGGGCAGACGAGGCGAGCUCCAGGACAUUUACACCAAGGCAUUCUACCCAGGAUUUUGCAGUUUGUCAUGCAUGCAAUCUAACUGUGCUAAUGAGUAAUGUCAUUGUAUAUGCAGAGAAAAUGCAUGGCACCUUUUACCACUAUAAACUGUAAAUAUAUAUAAAA